AUCGGACAACAUGAAAUCAGGGACUAAAUUCACCAGCAUUCAUGAUCCUCGGACCACCCGCCCCCUACGCACAGCCGAUUUAUAAAUGUUGCAUCUUUCAAUCAGUGUCAAUCCCAAGAAGAACCCUGAUCAGCUCCUGGAAAAAUCAGUGUUCUUGCAGUAUUGUCAGUCAAAUCUCAAGGAAAGGAUCCCAGAAGAGGAACAUUUACAUUAUUUCAGACUUUUUUCUUUCCUGUGUAACAAUGCCUCAAACAGCUAACACAUUUUAUAUAGUAUACAAUACAAUGUCUAUUAAUAACAGUCCAGUUAGAGUGCUGUGUUAUGCAGUAAAAAUACUUAAUUCUUGAUGACAUGUUGGUUUUAUGUUUACAUUAAACGGUAGUUAUAAUAUAUACUAAAGAAACAUAGUGGAUAAUGCCUGGUACAGGAGCAGGAGUAUGACAGUGUAAUAGUACAUGACUGCUGCGUUCAUCCAUGGAAGGAAUCUGUUAUUCGAAAUAAAGCUUUCCAUGAGGACGAAAAA